rnacentral:lncRNA from 1 species
GAGACUCUAUGUCGUGUCAUAAGUCAUAGAGUUUGUAUUAGGAUGUAAAAAAUGUAAUUUUGUUUUUAUUGGAUCGAUCAUGUAGAAGGUUGUUGUUUGGUGAUUGCAAUAACCUUCUUAUUUUUGUUUUUGGAUAAGCAUUGUAAAGUUUUUCUUGUAUUUUGUCACAAAAUCGCCAAAGGGGGAGAUUGUUAAGGAUUUUAUAAGUUGGUGAAUUUCGUGAAAUAUUGAACGGAGUCUCGAAGAAUUAGAAGAUGAAGAUUGAAGAAAGAGUUGAAGUUUUGUGAUCAAGACCCUUUGGAUCUCAUGUAUGAUUAUAAAUAAUUUGUGGUGAAGUUUUUAUUGUUAAAAGAUGUUUAGAAGACUUGGUUUAUAUUUGAGUUGACUAAACUUAAGUUUUCUA